rnacentral:rRNA from 1 species
ACGAAGGGGGCUAGCGUUGUUCGGAAUUACUGGGCGUAAAGCGCACGUAGGCGGAUAUUUAAGUCAGGGGUGAAAUCCCGCAGCUCAACUGCGGAACUGCCUUUGAUACUGGGUAUCUUGAGUAUGGAAGAGGUGAGUGGAAUUCCGAGUGUAGAGGUGAAAUUCGUAGAUAUUCGGAGGAACACCAGUGGCGAAGGCGGCUCACUGGUCCAUUACUGACGCUGAGGUGCGAAAGCGUGGGGAGCAAACAGG